rnacentral:rRNA from 1 species
AAUGGCUCAUUAUAUAAGUUAUCGUUUAUUUGAUAGUACCUUACUACUUGGAUAACCGUGGUAAUUCUAGAGCUAAUACAUGCUAAAAACCCCGACUUCGGAAGGGGUGUAUUUAUUAGAUUAAAAACCAAUGCCCUUCGGGGCUCACUGGUGAUUCAUAAUAACUUCUCGAAUCGCAUGGCCUUGCGCCGGCGAUGGUUCAUUCAAAUUUCUUCCCUAUCACUUUCGAUGCUAGAGUAGUGUCUAGCAUGGUUACCACCGGUUACGAAGGGUUAGGGCUCAACCCCGGA